rnacentral:lncRNA from 1 species
UGUAUUAAUAUUUAUCUAGAUAGAGUCUAUAUCAACCUUUAAAUUUGAUUUCUGAACUUAGUUUCCCUCAAUUAUUCCCUGUAACAUAUAUAUGCAAAUAUCGAGGUCCGUACCAUGAAUGUUAGUUUCAGCCCAAAUCAUUACUCUUUGUCGACGUGAUCGAAAUAAACAUAAUAUAAUAAAGAAGAUGUGGUAUUAUUGCCAAUGACAUAACUCUCCACAAGAGACCAAAUGACACAGAAAUUAACAACUAUAGGUCAUAUUUAGAAGGCUUUAAAUGAGUUGCAGCAAAUAUAUUUACCAAACGACAAUUUGAUUAAAUAGGAAAACUUUUGUUUGAUAAGAUAGUUUGGGAGUGUAGUGUAAAAAGUAGAAAAAUCAAAACUGUCUACAGAUUCAGAAAGACCAUCAAAAGCACGCAAUUCAUCUAAAACAUCGACAAAACUUUUUACAUAUACAAUAUAUUUUCAUAUAUUUUAUUACAAUAGUUUAUGAUAAGCCCCUUCAUAGUAGUUUAUAAGGAACUUGUUAAAAGCACUGAAAGAUUUAGUUUUAGAACACUUACUUGAAGUAUCAUGUCUUGUUUAUAAAGAUGCAAAUUUUUAAAACAGGGGCAAAUAAACGAAACAUGAACCGUAUAUGUUGAUAAAACAAUGAAUGUAUUUUUAUAUUUUCUGUUUGCAAAAGUAUGAAUAUGAUGGAUUAUCCGAAAUAUUAAAGAUUUUCUUAUUCCGGGC